rnacentral:rRNA from 1 species
ACGAACGCUGGCGGCGUGCUUAACACAUGCAAGUCGAACGCUGAAGCUUGGUGCUUGCACUGGGUGGAUGAGUGGCGAACGGGUGAGUAAUACGUGAGUAACCUGCCCUUGACUCUGGGAUAAGCCUGGGAAACUGGGUCUAAUACUGGAUACGACAUGCCACUGCAUGGUGGUGUGUGGAAAGGGUUUUACUGGUUUUGGAUGGGCUCACGGCCUAUCAGCUUGUUGGUGGGGUAAUGGCCUACCAAGGCGACGACGGGUAGCCGGCCUGAGAGGGUGACCGGCCACACUGGGACUGAGACACGGCCCAGACUCCUACGGGAGGCAGCAGUGGGGAAUAUUGCACAAUGGGCGGAAGCCUGAUGCAGCGACGCCGCGUGAGGGAUGACGGCCUUCGGGUUGUAAACCUCUUUCAGCACGGAAGAAGCGAGAGUGACGGUACGUGCAGAAGAAGCGCCGGCUAACUACGUG